UCACCAAGGCGACGAUCCCUAGCUGGUCUGAGAGGAUGACCAGCCACACUGGAACUGAGACACGGUCCAGACUCCUACGGGAGGCAGCAGUGGGGAAUAUUGCACAAUGGGCGCAAGCCUGAUGCAGCCAUGCCGCGUGUAUGAAGAAGGCCUUCGGGUUGUAAAGUACUUUCAGCGGGGAGGAAGGUGUUGUGGUUAAUAACCGCAGCAAUUGACGUUACCCGCAGAAGAAGCACCGGCUAACUCCGUGCCAGCAGCCGCGGUAAUACGGAGGGUGCAAGCGUUAAUCGGAAUUACUGGGCGUAAAGCGCACGCAGGCGGUCUGUCAAGUCGGAUGUGAAAUCCCCGGGCUCAACCUGGGAACUGCAUUCGAAACUGGCAGGCUUGAGUCUUGUAGAGGGGGGUAGAAUUCCAGGUGUAGCGGUGAAAUGCGUAGAGAUCUGGAGG
rnacentral:rRNA from 1 species